CAAAGACAACUGUAGGAGGCAGUGAACGAAGUACAGCACGAGAAGGCAAACUGCCCUCUGCACUCCUGAUGCUUUUUGGUGACAACUGUAUUGAUUUCAAAAAGUCAAUGCAGCAUAAACUCCCGUGAACCAUCCUGCCUAUCUAGCUGGUUAAUGCUGUUGUAGCCAUUACCUGCAGUCAAGGUCAACAUCUCUAUAAAAUUCUGCUGAAUUGCCCUGAGUGUAAUUGCAAGCUGGGAUAUUUUUCCCGUGUUACACAUGCAGAUUGUAUGAAUUAUAGUGUGUCAAAUAAAAAACCUCAAGUUGUUUAUAGUACAGGGGGCUCUCUUCUUCAGAUCCUUCCUGUUCAUGUACUAGGCUGCUUUGUAGCUGAAAAUGAGCCUCACCCCAUCAGUCUUCACCACUGGUACCCGAGAGACCAAUGAAGUCCAUGGCUUGAUAUAAAAAUAAGCUUAACACUUUAUUUAGAGCUAGAACCACAGGAGGAUAAGGCAUCAAAACAGUCACCACUGCAAUGGACUGUCUUUCAGGAGGUGCCUGGUCCCUGAAUGGAACCCUCUGUACCCCAUAUGGCACAGAAGGAGAGCCAGGCUUCCCAGAAGGGCACUCCUCACUGACAGCAUAUCCUGUAGCCUCUGCCUUCUUGUUUGGGCUCCUUUCUUUCUUAUGGUCCUCUGUCCCCUUCUUACAUUUGGGGACAUUCUUCUCUCCAGCCUCCAAAAGCCUGCAGUGUGGCUGAGUCACCUAUGCAGAGGUGUCCAUGCCACUGUGCAUGUUCCAUGGCACCUGCCUGGCUUCCAGCUGCUGCUCCACAGAGCCCGGCUCUGCAGCCUGUGCUCUGGCACCAUGGCCAGCCCUACAGGGCAGCCAGAGAGAGCCCCAGGCCUCUCUGCUCUGUGCAGCAGAACCCCACUCCUGGUAUUGCAAUGGAAGCACAACCUGCACACAUUUUGUUUUCUGUUAACAUCCAACUCAAAAUAAUUUGUUCAUAUUUUAUAAGGAAACAGAACUCUGCAUAGGAAGGUUUUCUUUGCUUGCUUGAGAAAUAACUGCUUUCCUCUCUAGCCUUCUUGGAGUGCUGAAUUUUGCUGUUAGCAAAGUUUUUUUGAAGAGGAGCAGAUCAAACUCCCCUGCUGGAAACAGUGUUUCCUGCAAUUUUGGACUGAAAUGACUUAUGAUGCAGAAUCUCAGAUAAUGUGGAAGAAGGAAGCUUUUCCUGCAUAGACGUGUGCACCAAGGUGCAUCUGGUAGCAUUCCACAAACUCAAACUCACACUUAGGUAGCUUGGCUGGAUUAAUAAUUUGUAGGCCUGGCCAUAAUGAACUCUAGAAGAUAACCCAGGUGUAAUGACUACUCCUACAAGGACCUGACAUCCACUGUGUCAGAGGACUGCAAGGUAAGAAGACUUGAGUUUAAGCAUGAAAGUUAAGGACAGUGUAGACAUCUUGGGAAAACUCAUCUCACCUAACUAGGUAGACACCUACGUUAAGCAGUCCAAAGGCAUCCCUAAGCCCUACAACCAGGGCUGACGGAAAAGCCAUCUCGGCCUUGUCCCUGGAGUCUUGUGGAGCAGCUGUUUCUGUUGCAAAAUGUGGAAUAUGUAAAAAUUUUCCUAUGAAAGGAUGUUCUCUGAUGUUUGAUCUUUGUCCACUUUCAAGCCUAACCAAGAGGAAAGGAGAUUUAAUGCGUGAAACAGAUGGCAGCUAAGAAGCCAGCUCUAAGUGAAAGGAAAAUUAUUAUUUUUAGUAUUGCCUUGUUAAGGUUUAGAGCUCAACAGGUUUCAAUGAUCUCAGACCUGGGGGGGGUGUUAACAAAGCUUGGACAGAAGGAUGUUCCACUGCUAGUGGACACGAAGAAUGCAGAAUUUCUGGGCCACAAGGACAUUUGGCAAGAACUGCCAAGAUAAGGAAGAAACUAAUAAAGACAACUCAGCAACUGUGAUGAAUCAGCUCCAACUGGGUGAAAGGUAAUUGUGGCAGGGGGAGAUCGCGACCAUCGACUCAGGGUCUGCUGAGCCAAGAAACCCACCGACCCAAAAGAAGAAAGACUGGACACGUGGACUAAUUAGCAAGAGAAGUGAGGGAAUCAUUAACCAGUAGAAGAUAGAAUAAUAAAACUGUGUCACCUGUAGCCAAGGAACAUUAAU